CCCUUAGAUGUUCUGGGCUGCACGCGUGCUACAAUGGCGCUUGCAACAAGAUUGCCAACCCGAAAGGGUGAGCGGAUCUUUGAAGUGGCGUCGUGAUCGGGACAGUUGAUUGCAAUUAUUCGACUCGAACGAGGAAUUCCUUGUAAUCGCGAUUCACCAUAUCGCGCUGAAUACGUCCCUGCCCUUUGUACACACCGCCCGUCGCUCCUACCGAUUGAGCGAUCCGGUGAAUGUUUUGGACUGGUGUCCGCAAGCGUUUCGCUUCGGACGCUACGAAAUUUUGUAAACCUUAUCGCUUAGAGGAAGGAAAAGUCGUAACA
rnacentral:rRNA from 1 species